UUAGACUAAUGCCUAGGGAUUUGCAUUUUAAACAUGCAGUGCUGCCCGUUUUCUUCAAACCAGUUUGAUAAGUAACUUUGUUAGAUUUUAGAUACUAGGUUAAGAGUCUGAAAACAGUUUGAGAAUUUUAAGGCAAGGAAAGAGAUGCGUUUUUGAAAAAAGGAAAAUUAGCAAUUGUGCUUCAAAUAGUGGCAGAGAAAACAUUGGGACAAAUAAGAGCAAAAAUUAUGAAUAUGGUAGUAGGCUUGAUGAUUGGUUAAAUAGAGAACAAAGUAUUUUUCAACUUUAUAAAGCUCUAUUUUCACGGGAACACAGAAGGUUGUGCAGACGUCGGUAGCUACGUGGACAGGAAGUUGUAGACGGUCACGCCCUCGUCUCAGUUCUUCCGGGUGUAACAGAGUUGAACACCUACACUGACACAUGCCCUACGCUCCAGUGAGGACCGCUCAUUCUCCGCUUGGUGUCGCUCGAAGCAUCUUCUGUUUACAGGUAGAGAUGCAGUCAAAGAAGUGUGUGAAGAGAGGGGUAAAUAAAAUACCAACUUCUUGGCCAGAAGUGUGAAAGGGCAAGCCCUAGAAAAUGGGCAUCCAACAUAGGCCCGGCAGUGAUUGAGGGCACUGAGGAAUCAGCACUGAGUAAAACAGGCAAUGAUUCUGAAUAAAGGCAAAAGAAAAUUCAACAAAGAAAUCAUGGGAUGCAAAAGUUGACGAUUAAGAUGUGGAAAUGGAGUCAGUGCCAGGAAG